CGGACAGAAGGCUCUCGGUGAAGCGGAUGUAGUUGACCGGCUUAUUGCGUAAGUUCGGCAUUGUUUCGAAUUGAAUUCAGUUUAGUUUUGUUGCAAUCGUUGCCUUUGUUUGGAAAUACCGUGAUAAUUUCAUAUUAAUUUCAAGUGUUAGUAAUUGUGUUCUUUAUCGUUCUUUUUUUUAAAUUUUCAAUUUCUUAAAUUUCGGUAUGUAGUUCAGUAUAUUUAGUAAGUGUAGUGAUUCGUGCGUCGAAGCUGCGAUUUUUUCUCGAGUUACAACAAUUUGGUA